rfam:Asian citrus Psyllid, Diaphorina citri - Florida Strain, whole genome shotgun sequence.
GCCUAGUUAGCUCAGUUGGUAGUGCGUCUGCCUCGUAAGCGCUAGGCCGCGGGUUCGAUUCCCGCCCGGGGCG